AUGAGGAUAUUUUCCCAGCUUAAAAUGACCCGCUUUGCUGCUGGCCCCAGCUCUCCAUCCCCAGGAACGGGUCCCUGGCAGUCAUGUAGUAGAAUGUGAUGCAAAGUCUUCUUGAAAAUAAGGAACUGGAUCAGCACUGAGCAUUCGACCCCACUUGGGCCUCUCUGAAUCUCUGCCCUGGGAAUUUGGAGAGAGGCACGUGGGAGUCAGUCUCCGUCAUCUGAGAGAGAAACUUCAAAACCCAACAUGUAACAAACAUCCCAAACCCAGCCUCCGUCUCCAUGGUGAUCAGGAAGUGCCCUCCCCCACCCCCUACCCCCUCUUUCUCUUUGGUGAGGGCCACACAACAUCCAUGAGUAGAGGGCAUCCAUGGCCCAUUUGUAGACUCUAAGGCUGGGAAUGGUGUCAUGUCAAAAGAGGGAAAAAGCUUUUUUCCAUUUGGCUCAGAGAGAGUUGAGGGAGCAGAUGGAGCGUCUCAGCAAUGACAGAAGCUAAAACAGCAGAGAAAUAGGGUUAAAGCAUAUUGGCAGCUCUGAAGACCUGAGAAGCAGCCUGCUGCCAGGGACCGCAAGUGCUGGGGAAGCUGAACCCCGGGACGUCUGGACAUGCAUGAUCUAGCAGUGACCCUAUUUCUGCAACCGAAACCAAACCAAAAUAAAAUCCUGCUAUAGCCUGUUGUCCACCACGUCCUGUUUUUAUGACCACAAGUAUAAUGUUGUGACAAUGGGGGAAGGAAAAUCAUGGAGGAGUUUCCCUAGCACUUACACCACAGUAAAAUAAGAAGGAACGAUUUGUCUGAGUCCCGGUAAAACUAAGUGAAGCCUGAGCUAACACAUUUUGGAUUGGUCUUGGGGCCUUUGAUAUUUCCCUGUAGAUGGUUUUACUAAGGGUCCAGAUGUUACUUCAUCACCAUUGUUAAAAAAGUCACAGCUAUUUCUUAUUUCUCACAUUGUUCUUUAAUUUUGU